GCAUCCAUAGCUCAGUUGGUAGAGCAGCUGGCUCUUAACCAGACGGUCGGGGGUUCGAAUCCCUCUGGAUGCA
rnacentral:tRNA from 1 species